GACGAACCACACAAACGUUAUUCGGAAUUACUGGGCUUAAAGGGUGCGUAGGCGGCGCGGAAAGUAGGGUGUGAAAUCCCUCGGCUCAACCGAGGAAUUGCGCCCUAAACUACCGUGCUCGAGGGAGAUAGAGGUGAGCGGAACUUAGGGUGGAGCGGUGAAAUGCGUUGAUAUCCUAAGGAACACCGGUGGCGAAAGCGGCUACACUGGAUCUCUUCUGACGCUGAGGCACGAAAGCUAGGGUAGCGAACGGG
rnacentral:rRNA from 1 species